rnacentral:rRNA from 1 species
CGGUUAAGUUAGAAAGGGCGCACGGUGGAUGCCUUGGCACUAGGAGCCGAUGAAGGACGGGACGAACACCGAUAUGCUUCGGGGAGCUGUAAGCAAGCUUUGAUCCGGAGAUUUCCGAAUGGGGAAACCCACCACUCGUAAUGGAGUGGUAUCCAUAUCUGAAUACAUAGGGUAUGAGAAGGCAGACCCGGGGAACUGAAACAUCUAAGUACCCGGAGGAAGAGAAAGCAAAUGCGAUUCCCUGAGUAGCGGCGAGCGAAACGGGACCAGCCCAAACCAAGAGGCUUGCCUCUUGGGGUUGUAGGACACUCUGUACGGAGUUACAAAGGAACGAGGUAGAUGAAGAGGUCUGGAAAGGCCCGCCAUAGGAGGUAACAGCCCUGUAGUCAAAACUUCGUUCUCUCCUGAGUGGAUCCUGAGUACGGCGGAACACGUGAAAUUCCGUCGGAAUCCGGGAGGACCAUCUCCCAAGGCUAAAUACUCCCUAGUGACCGAUAGUGAACCAGUACCGUGAGGGAAAGGUGAAAAGCACCCCGGAAGGGGAGUGAAAGAGAUCCUGAAACCGUGUGCCUACAAGUAGUCAGAGCCCGUUAACGGGUGAUGGCGUGCCUUUUGUAGAAUGAACCGGCGAGUUACGAUCCCGUGCAAGGUUAAGCAGAAGAUGCGGAGCCGCAGCGAAAGCGAGUCUGAAUAGGGCGAAUUGAGUACGUGGUCGUAGACCCGAAACCAGGUGAUCUACCCAUGUCCAGGGUGAAGUUCAGGUAACACUGAAUGGAGGCCCGAACCCACGCACGUUGAAAAGUGCGGGGAUGAGGUGUGGGUAGGGGUGAAAUGCCAAUCGAACCUGGAGAUAGCUGGUUCUCUCCGAAAUAGCUUUAGGGCUAGCCUCAAGGUAAGAGUCUCGGAGGUAGAGCACUGAUUGGACUAGGGGCCCCUACCGGGUUACCGAAUUCAGUCAAACUCCGAAUGCCGAUGACUUAUCCUUGGGAGUCAGACUGCGAGUGAUAAGAUCCGUAGUCGAAAGGGAAACAGCCCAGACCGCCAGCUAAGGUCCCAAAGUAUACGUUAAGUGGAAAAGGAUGUGGAGUUGCUUAGACAACCAGGAUGUUGGCUUAGAAGCAGCCACCAUUUAAAGAGUGCGUAAUAGCUCACUGGUCGAGUGACUCUGCGCCGAAAAUGUACCGGGGCUAAACGUAUCACCGAAGCUGCGGACUGUUCUUCGAACAGUGGUAGGAGAGCGUUCUAAGGGCUGUGAAGCAAGACCGGAAGGACUUGUGGAGCGCUUAGAAGUGAGAAUGCCGGUAUGAGUAGCGAAAGAGGGGUGAGAAUCCCCUCCACCGAAUGCCUAAGGUUUCCUGAGGAAGGCUCGUCCGCUCAGGGUUAGUCGGGACCUAAGCCGAGGCCGAAAGGCGUAGGCGAUGGAUAACAGGUUGAUAUUCCUGUACCACCUCCUCACCAUUUGAGCAAUGGGGGGACGCAGGAGGAUACGGUAAGCGCGGUAUUGGAUAUCCGCGUCCAAGCAGUUAGGCUGGGAAAUAGGCAAAUCCGUUUCCCGUGAAGGCUGAGCUGUGAUGGCGAGCGAAUUAUAGUAGCGAAGUUCCUGAUUCCACACUGCCAAGAAAAGCCUCUAGCGAGGUGAGAGGUGCCCGUACCGCAAACCGACACAGGUAGGCGAGGAGAGAAUCCUAAGGUGAUCGAGAGAACUCUCGUUAAGGAACUCGGCAAAAUGACCCCGUAACUUCGGGAGAAGGGGUGCUCUGUUAGGGUGCAAGCCCGAGAGAGCCGCAGUGAAUAGGCCCAGGCGACUGUUUAGCAAAAACACAGGUCUCUGCGAAGCCGUAAGGCGAAGUAUAGGGGCUGACGCCUGCCCGGUGCUGGAAGGUUAAGAGGAGCGCUUAGCGUAAGCGAAGGUGCGAAUUGAAGCCCCAGUAAACGGCGGCCGUAACUAUAACGGUCCUAAGGUAGCGAAAUUCCUUGUCGGGUAAGUUCCGACCCGCACGAAAGGCGCAACGAUCUGGGCACUGUCUCAACGAGAGACUCGGUGAAAUUAUAGUACCUGUGAAGAUGCAGGUUACCCGCGACAGGACGGAAAGACCCCGUGGAGCUUUACUGCAGCCUGAUAUUGAAUGUUGGUACAGCUUGUACAGGAUAGGUAGGAGCCUUGGAAACCGGAGCGCCAGCUUCGGUGGAGGCAUCGGUGGGAUACUACCCUGGCUGUAUUGACCUUCUAACCCGCCGCCCUUAUCGGGCGGGGAGACAGUGUCAGGUGGGCAGUUUGACUGGGGCGGUCGCCUCCUAAAAGGUAACGGAGGCGCCCAAAGGUUCCCUCAGAAUGGUUGGAAAUCAUUCGCAGAGUGUAAAGGCACAAGGGAGCUUGACUGCGAGACCUACAAGUCGAGCAGGGACGAAAGUCGGGCUUAGUGAUCCGGUGGUUCCGCAUGGAAGGGCCAUCGCUCAACGGAUAAAAGCUACCCCGGGGAUAACAGGCUUAUCUCCCCCAAGAGUCCACAUCGACGGGGAGGUUUGGCACCUCGAUGUCGGCUCAUCGCAUCCUGGGGCUGUAGUCGGUCCCAAGGGUUGGGCUGUUCGCCCAUUAAAGCGGUACGCGAGCUGGGUUCAGAACGUCGUGAGACAGUUCGGUCCCAGGAAAUUUGAGAGGAGCUGUCCUUAGUACGAGAGGACCGGGAUGGACGCACCGCUGGUGUACCAGUUGUUCUGCCAAGGGCAUCGCUGGGUAGCUAUGUGCGGACGGGAUAAGUGCUGAAAGCAUCUAAGCAUGAAGCCCCCCUCAAGAUGAGAUUUCCCAUUCCGCAAGGAAGUAAGAUCCCUGAAAGAUGAUCAGGUUGAUAGGUCUGAGGUGGAAGUGUGGCGACACAUGGAGCUGACAGAUACUAAUCGAUCGAGGACUUAACCAAUUU